CUGCAGGUUGCUGGGUGGGCCCUGUAGACAGACAAACAUGCCCAUCAGAAGUUAAAUACACCAAACCCUGUAUAGGAGACUCCAUACAGAAUAUAUGCAGCAAGAGGUAAUUUGACACAAAAUCCAAAAACUGCAGUUGCCCUUGUUUGCUUGCACAUGAAUGACAAUUACCCCCCCUCAAAAUCAGAGUGAUGAACGUAACUGUGUAGAUACCUGUAGUCACAGCUAUCACCUCCCAAGCUGAAAAUGCAUGCCCGGGAAUCGAACUCAGGUCGGAACUAGGAUACUUGCCUAAAACCAACCCAAUCUAUCGUGACUUCCCCAGCUGGGAACAUCUCACCAUUCCCAAGUCUUAGUUCCGUGUAUCAGCUAGUAACCAACAUACUUCCUCAACGGCGUCUUCCUGUUUAAACCUGGGUAGUUGCCUUAAUCAACCUGUUACAUCAUGAUUUCCCCCAGAGAACAACUCACCAGUGGUCACUAUUCACGUGUCAUGCCCUGUGAUAUGAGCCAGUAGCCAACAUAUGCCUCCAUCCUCAAUGGCUUCCAAACCGGCACCCAUAUCUCAGGCAGAGCGGCAUCAUGCUUAUGCCACCUUUCUUCAUCGUAGGCAGAGCUUUGGUGGAUGAUGCCGUCUGCAGCUCCCGUUUCUCGCUUCUGUACACAUGCCUGCUGAAGCAAGUUUACCAUAUGGGGUUGCAACCCCCUCAUUUGAGUCCUGCAGGUCAUGCAAGCAAGCAGUUGCAAUGUCUAGCACGCAAGCCCAAUUUUACUACUUCUCAUGAGACAACAUUAUACUUUGGGUUGUUGCUUGGGUUUGGUGCUGCCCAGGUGUGCAGCCAUGGCAUGAGGAGCGUGGUCGUGAUGGUGAAGUCCUUUGUUGCCAAGUUGCCAUAGAACUCGGCAAAGUCGUCAUAUUCCAUUUCACUGACGGCCAGGAUUUCCUCAAACGCUUUGGUGGCCUUAUCACCAGCAGCACUGCAAACGUUG
rnacentral:lncRNA from 1 species